UCCGAGUUGACCCCGGCAGUCUCCUAUGAGUCCCCACCAUCACGUGCUGGCAACUAAGGACAAGGGUUGCGCUCGUUGCGGGACUUAACCCAACAUCUCACGACACGAGCUGACGACAGCCAUGCAGCAUCUGCGCACCCGUCCCGAAGGAGGCACCCCUUUCAGGGUGUUGCGAGUGCAUGUCAAGCCCAGGUAAGGUUCUUCGCGUCGCAUCGAAUUAAACCACACGCUCCGCUGCUUGUGCGGGUCCCCGUCAAUUCCUUUGAGUUUUAGUCUUGCGACCGUACUCCCCAGGCGGUCCACUUAAUGCGUUGGCUUCGGCACGGAAGGGGUCAAGACCCACCAAGCCUAGUACCCAUCGUUUACAGCGUGGACUAC
rnacentral:misc_RNA from 1 species